AGCUACAAGUUAACGAUUUCCUCAACAAUGAUCAAUAGAGAGAGGGGUGUCAGGGACUCACUGUUUGAGGAUGUAAGCGGGUAAAAGGGGUGACCUUGCCUCAGCAGGGCUCAGUCGCACCCAGAAUAACAUUUUGUCAGUUUUAUUAGUAAUACUAAUAUUUGGUUAAUGGGGCACCAAAGGAAUCUCCUAUAUGAUUUAGUGAUUAAAGAAUAAUAUUAAACAAUGAAUCUCCCAUUGGUUCACAAAGUAUGCAAUUUUUCUCUCAACUGAAAUGACAACCACAUUUUGUCAGCGAUAUUUGGUUAAUGGAGCACCAACAAAUCUCCUAGAGUAUUUCAUUUGGAGGUUAAAGGGAAUAAGAAUAAAGGAUGUAAAAUAACCAGUGACACCUUAGCUCUCACUACACACUUGGCAAACAAAUACAUUAGGUGACUACUGAUUAUCUGUAGCUAAAUCUUAUCUGAAGUACAACCAAGAUGAACAGAAACAUUUCACCUCACUUUUGGUGGAAAAAUACUCUUCUCUGAUUGAUCAUUCAGUUACACAGUGAUCCGCUUAACACAUCGCAGGUUGAUCUGCAAUCACAUAAGCAAGCAUUUGCAUUAGAACAAAAGGAAGAAUGAAAUGUUUGAUCUUUCAUAUGGUACUAUUGAUCCUAGAGCAACGCUAAAUAGGAGAUUAGUAACACACAUCACUCUCCCGGCAAGAAGCAGCUCUCCCGGCAGUAACACGCAUCACUCUCUCGGCAGAAGGUGACUCUUCUUCAGAUUGUUGACCAUAUUCAUUAUUCACAAUAACGAAGUACAACUCCAAAUCAGAAAGGUCGUCGAUAAUGCUGAGCAUGGAAAGGUUUCUGUAGUUACCAUUAAUGUAAUCAAUGAGUACCAACUAUUGCUUGAUGCAUAUAUAAACAAUCAGAAGGUUGUCUACCUAGAUUUCUUCCUACCCAACUUUCCUUUAUCAGCAAGGAGGAACUGUUUUUUUCAUAUAUAAACAAUAAGCAGGUGACCUAAUGGACUAUGCAACCCAUAGAUUAAUUAUGCAAGAAGUUACCAUUCCUAUAAUUAGCAAGCAUCAAUCAUUGUUUGGUGCAUCUACAAACAAUGAGGAGGCGGUCUAAUUCUGGAGCACAUAGAUUAAUUAUCUGUGUAGUCAGACUUCCUCUGUUAGGAAGCAGCAACUACUACCCGCCGCACAUAUUUCUCCCAAAUCACUAACCUGAACAGGUAUUACAGUACACUGAAAAUUGGGCACACCCUACAGACAUGGAUAUGAACCAAAAUGCAUAUAUCUCUCCCAAAGCACUAAACAGGAAGCAAACCACCAGGGAAACCAUAAGUACAUAUGGCCAGCCAUAUCUUAUGAAGGUAUCCUAUGCUACAAAGACACAAUACCCAAAAAGACAUUUGGAUUGCAGUGCAGCCUCACAAUUGAAGCCGAAAACAUCAAAGAUUAAGCAUGUCAAGAGUGCACAUUUUUAUCGGAUAGAAUCUCACUUGAAGGCGUGACAACAUGUUUCCUUGCACAACAUAGGUCAAUCCACAACCAAAAUGAACCAAAUGUUCACAAUAUCCUUUCUUGUAUGCAUCAAGCAGAAUUCAAAAUCUCAUGGAGGUUCUGUACCAUUUGCCUUUGGCCACCACCUGGACAGUACACAACCAAAUUUAGCUGAAGUUUAUAAUAAACAUGCAUGCAACGAUAGCAGCCUAUAUUAAUUUUAUACCUGGCUUACAGGAAACCAGAAGCUAUGUACUGGCAAUUAACCAGAAAAGGAGGAGAAAUUCAGAAAAAUCUAGUAUGUAACCUAGUUUAACAAUGCUUAUAUCCCCAAUCCAAGCUCUACAUAUUUCAGCUCACUAAUGCUUACAAAAAAUAAAAAAUAGUACCCUCAUUUUGGAACUUGAAUCUGCAAACAUGGUGUCUAACUAAAAAUCAGAGUCAUGGUUAAGAUAAAGGAGCACCUCUGGAACGAGAGCGGUGGCUAAAAGCAUCAGACCACCAAAACAUCCCAUAGCACACAGUCCAACAGCGAACCAUCUCCUGAACCUAAUUAAGUAAUGUAUAUAUGAAUCUAAACUACAUGACAUAAGCUGAAGAACAACACGAGCAUGCAGAUCCAACUCUGUGAAUUUGCAAACAAAAGGCCCAAAAAAUUCACCUCCAGAUGAGGUCUCCGAGAAGCAUAAAGUCGCCAUCCUUGUCUCCGUUCCGCUCACCGCCACGAGACUCAUCUCCUCGUACCCACCCUGCAUCCAAGAGCCAAAUCGUCAGAAACCCACCAGAAGAACAACACAUAACAUGCUCGUCUCUGCUGCUAUUGAGUACAUGAACAGGAUAUGUUCUUGGCUGCAAACUAUUAACUUUUUAGGAAUUUUAAGCAACAUUAUAGAAGCUGAAAUACAACCAGAUCUAUUUUAACAAUAGGUUUAUGAGAUUAUGGUGUGCCUUUUCUUAUCUAUCUGUCACAAUAUAUUAUAUAAUGGGUACAUGCUAUCUGGAACAUGAAAGACAAGGGAAAAUUAAAAGGGUCAACUGUUAUACAAUACAUAUGUACCCAGAGCCAUUAACUUAAAAGGGUCAAUAUAUUUUCUACACUAUGCUUUGUGAAAUUAACUCUUUUAUGUACCUCCCUCACAAACAUUCACGGUUACCAAAUCUAGAUGAUUUUUAUUUGAACUUUUAGAACUGAAUACCAAGAGCAUACAUGCCUCUUACUUUGCAACCUUAGCCAAACAUAGUGGAGAGAAUACGAGGAGUGCUGUAUAGGAAAAAAAUUAAGUUAAUAGCUGUCCCUGCAGUUUCCAUCAGAUUAACAUUAAAACUCAUCAAAAAGUAAGGAAUAGCGAGCCAAAUGUGAAUUGUAUUACAACACAAGGUUUUAAAUUGUGCGGUCCGAUAAAAAUGAAGUUAAAUGAUGUGUGCCCUAUGGUAUGCAGACUGUUUCAUCCUUAGAAAUUGUAAUGCAAAAUCAGGCUGUCUGCUAGCAUAAAGGUGGCUUUUAAAUAUUAGAAUGCCACUUCAAAGUUGAAGUAAGUAUGAACCCACAGAAAAUCACCACUACCCAACCAUAAACAGAGAGGAAGUAAUAUGAGCUGAGAUCUUCGAUGGCAUAAAAAAAUUUAGAGCAUAUUUGACAUAUCAUUUUGAAGUUAAAAAUAGCAAAUAAGCUACAGCCAAGAAAGAACACAUUAAGUAGCUAGAGAGUAUACACUACUUUCUAAUAGGAAAGAAGGUAAUUUACCCGGCAAGGUAUUGUCACUGAUUCCAACAUGAAAGAACAAAGAAACCUGGGAUAAUCCCAACCACAUCUGUCCAUACAAAAAACACAAGUCAAUACACCAAAGGCAUGCCCAAUACAAAAGGAGCAACACGAUAGGCAUCAUAAAAAGUACCUGUGAAACGCUCAGGCGUGUUUGUAGGCCUUGGGAGCUGAUUAAUUGGAGUCAGGACAUAGGUGCAGAAAGGAAAUUCUGCUUCUAGACCCUCCCAUCACGCAACAGUUGUAUACCUAGUGAACUUAAUCAUGUAUUGACUCUCCACCAGCCCGAAGACAUACUUCUUGAGAAAGACCAGAAACUUGCGACAGAUCAUCAACCCACACUCUUGGGGGACACAUAUAAAUUGGUUAACAAAUUUCUCAGGCAUCUCUGCAUACAUAUGGUUACCCUGCGAGGAAAAGAGUAUGGUUCAACACAGGAGAAAUAACAGACCAUUAAAUAACAGGACAAGAAAGACAGGAAACCAGAUCAAAGAAUACAUGUA
rnacentral:lncRNA from 1 species